rnacentral:tmRNA from 1 species
GGGGAUGACAGGUUUCGACGGGGCAGGAAGGCUGAGGACUGCAAGCCGAGGUGCUCUUCCCUCGUUAAACCAGAGCAGCACCAAUAAGUGCCAAGAACACUGGCAAGGCGUUCAACUUCGCGUUCGCGCCGCGCACGGCUAUGGCCGUCGCCGCGUAAUCGCGGACGCGGAGGAGAACAAUUGGUCGCUUGAGAUAGCGGCCACGGUGCCCCGGCGUGCUCCCGACUGGCGCCGGGUGUCGCCGUCAUAGACAGCCGGGUGCAGCCGACCUGAUGCCGCUAGGGUCGGCCUAAGACAUAGCGGCUGGCCAGGCAAGUGGACGCUGUCAGGGGCGGCCCGCCUGGUGAGAUAUCAAAACCCUGACUAAGCUUGUAGAUGUCCGAGGCCGAAUGUCCCGGACCCGGGUUCGAUUCCCGGCAUCUCCACCA